ensembl:lncRNA
CCGCUUGUGACGCCGCUGACGACGCGGCCGCAUGGAUCAGAGAGAAGCGAGGCCCUGCUUCUGAAGGGUUCGCUUGCGAUCGGCUGAGGGAAGCGGGCCCAGACUCUGUGAGGAGGCGAGGUUCGCAGGGAACAGGCCAGCCGGGAGGUCGGGAGGCCCCAGAGGAGCACUGAAGGAGACCUGCCUGUGGGUCUCAAUUGCCCAGCUCCGGCCCACACUCGCCUG